rnacentral:lncRNA from 1 species
AUCAGAGCCCUAGACACUUGAGCCACCACCAACUACUCAGGAUCACCUACAAGUUACCCAUAGGAAGGGCAACAUUUUCAAGCAGAAGGGGUGAGAUUCACAACAAUAAAUAUAGAUAAUAAAUUCAUCAAUUGAAUCUAACACCCUAACAUAAUAAUAAUGAUUCACAUAUAAAUGUAUAUUUCAUAAUCAGCACAUCAUCAACAAUGGUAUUUACAACCAAGACAACGACUCAUGCGACACUCGACAACUCCACUAAGACUCCUCUACAAUGCACAUGUAUGUGGUACCAAUUUACAGGGCAGUAGCCCUCACCGGAUAUUGAAUGGUUAAAGCAUUCAUCAGGGCCUAAGCCCUCACCGCUUUGAACAAUAAGUGUUCCAGGACAUGACUCCUCCCGCUUUGAACGACAAGGCGUUCCAGAGCAAGAGCCCUCCCGCUUUAUAUGCUUAUGCAACUGACUCCACUUGUGUAUAUCUACAUACAACUUCAACAAAUGCAUAUAUAUGUAUAUGACUCAAAACCGACUAUUCAACAACAUGUAUGAUUUAAUUACAUAAAAGCAUACAUCACAGUCAACAAGAUAUCAGUAUAAUCAAUCCAACAAUUCCAGAAAUAUGCACAAUUAAUAAUAAUCAUGCUUAGACAUCAAUAUCAUUCAACAACAUUCAAUUAAAGAACAAGCAGCUUCAGAAAUGGGCAACUCGCCUCGCGAGUACAUCUACUCGAUAUGGUGAGCACAAGAAAACGGGUUGCUCGCCGUGGCGAACUCAAGGCUAAUGAAAAUAUGGUGCUCUCGGGAGUUUUGACAUUUUUCUCACUAAAUCUUCAUUUUUAAGCUCCCCAUUCAUCUUUUUAAUCUAAAAAUUGUCCCAGUCCUCUCUAAAAUCAUUUNGUUUGGGUUAUUACUCUGAUGAAUUAUUUAUUAAUUAAUUGCUUUGGGAUAACGGGGUGUUACAAUUGGUAUGAGAGCAGGUUCGUUCCGUCCGAUCAAGUAGUAGAGUCGUGUUGAGCCACCUAGGAUAGAGUGUCAACUCUAAUUUUGUUUUUGUUGUUGUUUUGAAUUGUUGCUUCUUAUGUAAAACCUUAAGAUGGCUGGUCAUAAUGAUGCUGCUAUUGCUGCUGCACUUGAGGUUGUAGCUCAAGCUGUACUACAACAACCGAACGCUGCUACUGGUAACGGUGAAGUGAUGAUGUUGGAGACCUUUUUGAGGAAUCAUCCACAAGCAUUCAAAGGAAGGUAUGAUCCCGAUGGUGCCCAUAAGUGGCUUAAAGAAGUGGAAAGGAUUUUCAGGGUAAUGCAAUGCAAUGAAGUGCAGAAAGUGCGGUUCGGGACGCACAUGUUGGCUGAGGAAGCCGAUGACUGGUGGGUAAGUUUGUUAAUAGUACUCCUUAAAGUGUUUGCUCUGACUGGUACGCAAACCACUAGUGAGGAUCGACUUAUCAGAGGUACUUGUUUCAUUAAUAGUACUCCUUUAAUUGCUAUUAUAGACACUGGUGCUACUCAUUGUUUCAUUGCUAUUGAAUGUACUUAUAAGUUGGGUCUGGUUGUAUCUGAUAUGAAACGGGAAAUAGUUGUUGAAACUCCAGCUAAGGGUUCAGUAACUACUUCUCUUGUUUGUCUAAGGUGUCCGUUGUCUAUGUUUGGUAGAGACAUUAAAGUCGACUUAGUUUGUUUACCGUUGACGGGAUGGAUGUUAUUUUUUGGAUGAACUGGUUAGAAUAUAACCGAGUUCAUAUCAAUUGUUUUAGCAAGACGGUGCAUUUUUCUUCUGCGGAAGAAGAAAGUGGAGCAGAGUUCCUAUCUACGAAAUAGUUAAAGCAGUUGGAGCGUGACGGAAUUCUAAUGUUUUCUUUGAUGGCAUAUUUGUCGUUAGAGAAUCAAGCUGUGAUUGACAGGUUGCCAGUUGUGAAUGACAAGUUUGUAAGACCAAGUGUUUCACCUUGGGGAGCGCCGGUGUUGUUGGUUAAGAAGAAGGAUGGUAGCAUGAGGUUAUGCAUUGAUUAUCGUCAGUUGAACAAAGUUACGAUAAAGAACAGGUAUCCACUUCCGAGGAUUGACGACUUAAUGGAUCAGUUAGUGGGUGCAAAGGUUUUCAGCAAGAUUGACUUAAGGUCAGGUACCAUCAGAUUAAGGUGAAAGAUGAGGAUAUGCAGAAGACGGCCUUUGGGACACGAUAUGGUCAUUACGAAUAUAAGGUGAUGCCUUUCGGUGUUACUAAUGCGCCUAGUGUGUUUAUGGAGUAUAUGAACCGAAUUUUCCAUGCUUACCUAGAUAAAUUCGUGGUUGUGUUUAUUGAUGACAUCUUGAUUUAUUCAAAGACUGAAGAAGAGCAUGCAGAACAUCUGAAGAUUGUAUUGCAAGUAUUGAAAGAAAAGAAGUUGUAUGUCAAGUUGUCAAAGUGUGAGUUCUGGUUAAGUGAAGUAAGUUUUCUUGGCCAUAUUAUUUCUGGUAGUGGUAUUGCAGUUGAUCCAUCGAAAGUUGACGCAGUAUCACAAUGGGAGACUCCGAAGUUAGUGACUAAAAUCAUAAGUUUCUUGGGUUUGGCUGGUUAUUACCGCAGGUUUAUUGAAGGAUUUUCGAAGUUAGCACUUCCGUUGACUCAGUUGACCUAUAAGGGUAAGUCUUUUGUGUGGGAUGCUCAGUGUGAGAGUAGUUUCAAUGAGUUGAAGCAAAGAUUGACGACUGCUCCUAUUUUGAUUUUACCGAAGCCGGAAGAACCUUUUGUUGUUUAUUGUGAUGCGUCCAAGUUGGGCUCAGGUGGUGUUUUGAUGCAAGAUGGCAAAGUGUAAGCAUAUGCUUCUAGGCAGUUGAGAGUUCAUGAAAAGAAUUAUCCUACACAUGAUUUGGAGUUAGCUGCGGUGGUUUUUGUUUUGAAAAUUUUGAGGCAUUACUUGUACGGAUCCAGAUUUGAAGUAUUUAGUGAUCACAAAAAUUUAAAAUAUUUAUUUGAUUGGAAAGAGUUGAACAUGAGGCAGAGAAGAUGGUUAGAGCUGUUGAAAGAUUAUGAUUUUGGCUUGAAUUAUCAUCCAGGUAAAGCUAAUGUGGUUGCAGAUGCGUUGAGUAGGAAGACGUUGCACAUGUCUGCUACGAUGGUAAAAGAAUUUGAUUUGCUAGAGCAGUUUAGAGACUUGAGUCUUGUCUGUGAGUUGACACCUCAGAGUGUUCAGUUGGGAAUGCUGAAGAUUAACAUUGAUUUCUUGAAUAGUAUUCGAGAAGCGCAGCAAGUAGAUGUGAAGUUUGUUGAUUUGAUGGUUGCUGGUAAUGAAACUGAAGAUAGUGACUUUAAGGUUGAUGAUCAAGGUGUGUUGAGAUUCAAAGGAAGAAUUUGCAUUCCUGAUAAUGAUGAUGUGAAAAAGUUGAUUUUGGAGGAAAGCCACAAGAGUAGCUUAAGUAUUCAUCCGGGAGCUACGAAAAUGUAUCAUGAUUUGAAGAAGCUGUUUUGGUGGUCCGGUUUGAAGCGUGAUGUCGCUCAUUUUGUGUAUGCAUGUUUGACUUGUCAAAAGUCUAAGGUUGAACAUCAGAAGCCUGCAGGGUUGUUGACACCGUUGGAUGUGCCGGAGUGGAAGUGGGAUAGCAUUUCUAUGGAUUUUGUGACGAGUUUACUGAUGAAGGAUUUUUACCUCUCAUAAAACUAUUUACACGUAAGUAUAAUAGGAUCGUGUCCACAGGGAGUUGCGUAUUUCAUAAGCAUUUUCACAAUAUUUGUCACAUUAAUUGUUUGGGUAUAAAUUGUUUGUUUAUGUAAAACUAUUUUCCUAAUCGACAUAAUAGUAAAACGAGAAGAGAUAGGGCUAUUCCGCUUGCGGUCAGAGACAUCAACCAAGCGUAACAGCUGCAAUCUCUCGAUCGAUUAACGGAUUCUAGCUUUUUAAACUAUAUUAUCACAAUCACUCGUCAAUAUCAUUCGUGUCCAAAUGAUAUCGUUAUUUCUAAGGGAUCGUUUAAACAUCGAUUUCCCAAACAUUUAAACGAUCACAAAGUAGAUUGGAUAGUUUAAUCGACGAUUUCCCAACCGAUUAAAUUACCCAAAAGCAUUAAGUCCUAGAUUAAAAGUAAUUAUCAAAUAUUAACAUCCAUUUCUAGAGUGAUAACUUAAGAUAGAUUGUUAUUCUAUUUCUAGAUUCAAAAGUAUGUGUCCAUAUCAUUUUGAAUCUCAAUAAAACAUUAAAUGCAAGAAUAACAACAAUAUUGAAUAAAUAGCUAGUACCAUAUAUUAAAAGAUCAAAAGAUUACAUAAUAGCUUGUUUGAAUACCUCAAAACACACAAGGGUAGAUGCAGCUAUAUGUCUAUGAUAGCUUUGCAAAGGAUGAAGAAGAGAUGAAGAUUCAAUGCCUAGAUUCAUGAUGUCUCAAUAAAUCUUGGGUUGAAUCUACUCCUAACACCUUGCUUUGUGUUUCUCUAGAAAUGCCAAACCAAAAUUCUCCCAAAAUGAUGUUGCUGCCGCCUGCUGUUCCAUGGCUGCAAAACUGCAAAACGUGAAUCCUCCCCCCCUUUUCUUUAAGUUCCUGUGCGGCUCUUAUAUAUCCCUCUUUCUCCUCUUUUAUUUCCGUUUCCUUUUGCUCUCGGGUCAACCAAUUCAACUUGGUUCAAAGGCCCAUUUGUUUUUGUUUUGCUAAUUCACCAAGAAAUUGCUGCACGUGUGGCCUCUUGUAACAACCAACACAUGAUAUUUUUCAUUUUAACUUCAUUGUUCCACACUUAAAUGUAGGCCACACCUUUGUUAUAUCAUGUAGUCAUUGAUCCAUAAUAAUAAUAAUAGGUAGUAAUAUAUUAGUUGACUCAAUAAAUAAGAAAAUGAUAAUUUAUUUAAAAUGACUCUAAAUUAAAUACUAAACUAAUAAAAAUAGACUAAAAACUUAACUAAAAAGACUCUAAAAAUGUAAUAUGACGGACUGUCAUCAUUUACCUUACACUCCUAGAGGGCAUGAUGCUAUAUGGGUUGUGGUCGACAGGUUGACGAAGUCGGCGCACUUUAUUUCGAUUAAUAUCAGUUAUCCGGUAGCUCAGUUGGCGGAGAUUUAUAUUAAUAAUAUUGUGAAGCUACAUGGUGUACCGUCGAGUAUUGUGUCGGAUAGGGAUCCGAGGUUCAUUUCUAAAUUUUGGAAGAGCUUACAAGAUGCAUUGGAUUCGAAGUUGAGGUUGAGUUCGGCUUAUCAUCCUCAGACAGAUGGUCAGUCGGAGAGGACGAUCCAAUCAUUGGAGGAUUUACUGAGAGUGUGUGUGCUUGAGCAAGGUGGAGCUUAGGAUAGUCACCUACCGUAGAUAGAGUUCACAUACAACAACAGUUACUAUUCGAGUAUUGGUAUGGCACCGUUCGAAGCUUUGUAUGGUCGGAGGUGUAGGACUCAUUUAUGCUGGUUUGAGUCAAUAGAGAGUGUUGUGUUGGGACCGGAAUUGAUUCAUCAGACUACAGAGAAAGUCAAGAUGAUCAGAGAGAAGAUGAAAGCGUCGCAGAGUCGACAGAAGAGUUAUCAUGACAAACGUAGGAAGGCCCUUGAGUUUCAGGAGGGUGAUCAUGUAUUUCUAAGAGUUACUCCUAUGACGGGUGUAGGACGUGCAUUGAAGUCGACGAAGUUGACUCCAAAGUUCAUUGGUCCGUAUCAGAUAUCGGAGAGGGUUGGAACAGUGGCAUAUAGAGUUGGUUUGCCACCACAUCUUUAGAACUUGCAUGAUGUGUUUCAUGUGUCGCAACUUCGGAAGUAUGUAGCGGAUCCUUCGCAUGUUAUUCCGAGAGAUGAUGUGCAGGUUAGAGACAACCUUACAGUUGAGACCUUACCGUUGAGGAUUGAAGACCGUGAGGUGAAGAAGUUAAGAGGCAAGGAUAUACCUCUAGUGAAGGUUGUUUGGGGUGGAGUAACUGGUGAGAGUUUGACUUGGGAGCUAGAAAUCCCAAUGAGUGAGUAUGUUUAUUUGUUCAGUUUACACUCACUAUUUAUAAAGAGUGUAAGAACAAAUUAACAUGUUUGCAGUAGAGGAAAACACUUUCGAAAGUUUCUCGCUUGCGCGCUUGAGCAUAUAAGUGUAACACCCCGUUAUUCCAAAGCAAUUAAAUAAGAAUAAUACAUCAGAGUCUAAUACCAAACGGGCAUGUCACACUGCUUUUCAAAUUUUCUCAAAAAUAUCAUUAAUUUGCAGCGGAAUAUUUGCAUCAAAAGCAACAACAACAACUGUUUAAUUCUCCAUAAAAUAAUCUUGGCAUAAAAGCCUCAUCAAAAUAAAUCCAACAAUCAAAUAAAGGGCUACAUCAACAUGUUCCAAAAAUUGAUACAUAGGAAUGAAAAAUAAGCAAUUAAAUCCCAUCCCGUACANUUGGCUGGUUAUUACCGCAGGUUUAUUGAAGGAUUUUCGAAGUUAGCACUUCCGUUGACUCAGUUGACCUAUAAGGGUAAGUCUUUUGUGUGGGAUGCUCAGUGUGAGAGUAGUUUCAAUGAGUUGAAGCAAAGAUUGACGACUGCUCCUAUUUUGAUUUUACCGAAGCCGGAAGAACCUUUUGUUGUUUAUUGUGAUGCGUCCAAGUUGGGCUCAGGUGGUGUUUUGAUGCAAGAUGGCAAAGUGUAAGCAUAUGCUUCUAGGCAGUUGAGAGUUCAUGAAAAGAAUUAUCCUACACAUGAUUUGGAGUUAGCUGCGGUGGUUUUUGUUUUGAAAAUUUUGAGGCAUUACUUGUACGGAUCCAGAUUUGAAGUAUUUAGUGAUCACAAAAAUUUAAAAUAUUUAUUUGAUUGGAAAGAGUUGAACAUGAGGCAGAGAAGAUGGUUAGAGCUGUUGAAAGAUUAUGAUUUUGGCUUGAAUUAUCAUCCAGGUAAAGCUAAUGUGGUUGCAGAUGCGUUGAGUAGGAAGACGUUGCACAUGUCUGCUAAGAUGGUAAAAGAAUUUGAUUUGCUAGAGCAGUUUAGAGACUUGAGUCUUGUCUGUGAGUUGACACCUCAGAGUGUUCAGUUGGGAAUGCUGAAGAUUAACAUUGAUUUCUUGAAUAGUAUUCGAGAAGCGCAGCAAGUAGAUGUGAAGUUUGUUGAUUUGAUGGUUGCUGGUAAUGAAACUGAAGAUAGUGACUUUAAGGUUGAUGAUCAAGGUGUGUUGAGAUUCAAAGGAAGAAUUUGCAUUCCUGAUAAUGAUGAUGUGAAAAAGUUGAUUUUGGAGGAAAGCCACAAGAGUAGCUUAAGUAUUCAUCCGGGAGCUACGAAAAUGUAUCAUGAUUUGAAGAAGCUGUUUUGGUGGUCCGGUUUGAAGCGUGAUGUCGCUCAUUUUGUGUAUGCAUGUUUGACUUGUCAAAAGUCUAAGGUUGAACAUCAGAAGCCUGCAGGGUUGUUGACACCGUUGGAUGUGCCGGAGUGGAAGUGGGAUAGCAUUUCUAUGGAUUUUGUGACGAGUUUACUGAUGAAGGAUUUUUACCUCUCAUAAAACUAUUUACACGUAAGUAUAAUAGGAUCGUGUCCACAGGGAGUUGCGUAUUUCAUAAGCAUUUUCACAAUAUUUGUCACAUUAAUUGUUUGGGUAUAAAUUGUUUGUUUAUGUAAAACUAUUUUCCUAAUCGACAUAAUAGUAAAACGAGAAGAGAUAGGGCUAUUCCGCUUGCGGUCAGAGACAUCAACCAAGCGUAACAGCUGCAAUCUCUCGAUCGAUUAACGGAUUCUAGCUUUUUAAACUAUAUUAUCACAAUCACUCGACAAUAUCAUUCGUGUCCAAAUGAUAUCGUUAUUUCUAAGGGAUCGUUUAAACAUCGAUUUCCCAAACAUUUAAACGAUCACAAAGUUGAUUGGAUAGUUUAAUCGACGAUUUCCCAACCGAUUAAAUUACCCAAAAGCAUUAAGUCCUAGAUUAAAAGUAAUUAUCAAAUAUUAACAUCCAUUUCUAGAGUGAUAACUUAAGAUAGAUUGUUAUUCUAUUUCUAGAUUCAAAAGUAUGUGUCCAUAUCAUUUUGAAUCUCAAUAAAACAUUAAAUGCAAGAAUAACAACAAUAUUGAAUAAAUAGCUAGUACCAUAUAUUAAAAGAUCAAAAGAUUACAUAAUAGCUUGUUUGAAUACCUCAAAACACACAAGGGUAGAUGCAGCUAUAUGUCUAUGAUAGCUUUGCAAAGGAUGAAGAAGAGAUGAAGAUUCAAUGCCUAGAUUCAUGAUGUCUCAAUAAAUCUUGGGUUGAAUCUACUCCUAACACCUUGCUUUGUGUUUCUCUAGAAAUGCCAAACCAAAAUUCUCCCAAAAUGAUGUUGCUGCCGCCUGCUGUUCCAUGGCUGCAAAACUGCAAAACGUGAA